rnacentral:ncRNA from 1 species
AGCCGUACUACCAUGGAAGUCUUUCGCAGAGAGAUAUGGUAGAUGGGCUAGAAGAGCAUGACAUAUACUGUGUGUCGAUAUUUUCUCCUCGGACCUUGAAAAUUUAUGGUGGGGACACGCAAACUUCUCAACAGGCCGUACCAAUAUCCGCAGCUGGUCUCCAAGGUGAAGAGUCUCUAGUCGAUAGAAUAAUGUAGGUAAGGGAAGUCGGCAAAUUAGAUCCGUAACUUCGGGAUAAGGAUUGGCUCUGAAGAUUGAGAUAGUCGGGCUUGAUUGGGAAACAAUAACAUGGUUUAUGUGCUCGUUCUGGGUAAAUAGAGUUUCUAGCAUUUAUGUUAGUUACUUGUUCCCCGGAUAGUUUAGUUACGUAGCCAAUUGUGGAACUUUCUUGCUAAAAUUUUUAAGAAUACUAUUUGGGUUAAACCAAUUAGUUCUUAUCAAUUAUAACGAUUAUCAAUUAACAAUCAAUUCAGAACUGGCACGGACUUGGGGAAUCCGACUGUCUAAUUAAAACAAAGCAUUGUGAUGGCCCUAGCGGGUGUUGACACAAUGUGAUUUCUGCCCAGUGCUCUGAAUGUCAAAGUGAAGAAAUUCAAGUAAGCGCGGGUCAACGGCGGGAGUAACUAUGACUCUCUUAAGGUAGCCAAAUGCCUCGUCAUCUAAUUAGUGACGCGCAUGAAUGGAUUAACGAGAUUCCUACUGUCCCUAUCUACUAUCUAGCGAAACCACAGCCAAGGGAACGGGCUUGGAAUAAUUAGCGGGGAAAGAAGACCCUUUUGAGCUUGACUCUAAUCUGGCAGUGUAAGGAGACAUAAGAGGUGUAGAAUAAGUGGGAGAUAUUAGACCUCGGUUUGGUAUCGUCAAUGAAAUACCACUACUCUUAUUGUUCCUUACUUACUUGAUUAAAUGGAACGUGUAUCAUUUCCUAGCCAUUAUACGGAUAUAUUUAUUAUAUCUUAUGGUAUUGGGUUUUGAUGCAAGCUUCUUGAUCAAAGUAUCACGAGUUUGUUAUAUAAUCGCAAACAAAUUCUUUAAUAAAACGAUGCAUUUAUGUAUUUUUGAUUUGAAAAUUUGGUAUAACUCCAAUU